UUUGUUUUGGAUUUACCAGUCAUCUGUUUUCAACUUUCAAGAUGUGACGUCAUAAAACAACUAAAAGGCUCAAGAGAAUUGAAAAAUUGAAAUCAAAUUCAAAACGCAAAAUUUGUUUUGGAAAAUACAGUUUAUUCAAUUCCACUUCUUUUUCAAGGAGAAACUGAUAAAAAAAUAUUUUUUAAAGGAGAUUGAAGUUGAAAAAAAAGUAAAAACACAUUUAAAACAAAAAAAAAACGUUUUUAAGGCCUUUUUAUAAUGAUAAUGACCAUAACUUAUCACUUUUUUUUUCACUGUAAAAUUUCAAAGUGUUUUUCUACUGCAAAGUCAAUUCUUACAUCGGACUUUUGGAAUAUUUUCUAAGAACUGUGUAAAGCAUUCGGUUUUAUAUUUUUAACAACUGUUUCUGUUUUGCUUGGGAUUUGUAUCCAAAAUGCACCAUCUGCCAAAAAAGGUAUCAAGCAGUUCGUCGUUGUGUAUGUAGAAGAUUUUUGGAACGCCGUUUAAUUAGAGCAAAUAGUAAAUUUCAACGUAUUCGUAGAUCAUACUUAGUCGAAUUUAUAUUUUUGCAAUUGCUCCAAGAUGUUUUCACGUGUACUUCGAUCUUACCUAGCAUGCCGUAGGGCAAUUCACACAAAUACGUGUGAUUUCGUUAGAAACGGUGGCGGUAUUGCUACCAAAAUGGAUCGAGAGGCACGUAUCUGGAAAAGAAGAUGCUUGAAUAUAGAAAGAAAGAUUCAGGAGAAUAAAAAGGAAUUGUUGGCCUACAGACGAGUCUGUCAUCCUAGUGAGCUCCCGGGCAGCCGCAGCUCGACGCGCAAGUUUUCAAACGACGAAAGAUGAGUAAGUCUUUUUUUGUACUUCCUAGAAGACGAUGCAUGAAAAAAAAUUACUGCUUAAUAAAAUUCCCACUCUCCCUUGGAUUAGAGCUCAAAAAGUAAAAAUUUUGAUCGGUUUUAAAAGGCCAAAAUGUGAAAGAAUCUUUUAUAAUAAACUAAUAGGUGCUGUUUUUUAUCGUAACUAAUCGCUUUGUACAGAAAAUAACGACUUUUCAAUCGCGUUUUAACGAAACAUUAGGUAUGUGUAAUUUAUUUUUAAAGGAUUGUAUUUUUUUUCUAAAGUCAUUUUCAAGUUCCACCAAUGAUGCUUUGUUUCUGUUUUUCAUAUGUACAAUAAACGUUUGUAACAAAAUU